rnacentral:rRNA from 1 species
GGUUUGAUCAUGGCUCAGGACGAACGCUGGCGGCGUGCUUAACACAUGCAAGUCGAACGAGAAUCUGUGGAAAGAGGAUUCGUCCAAUUGAAGCAGAGGACAGUGGCGGACGGGUGAGUAACGCGUGAGGAACCUGCCUUUCAGAGGGGGACAACAGUUGGAAACGACUGCUAAUACCGCAUGACACAUAGGUGUCGCAUGGCACUUAUGUCAAAGAUUUAUCGCUGAAAGAUGGCCUCGCGUCUGAUUAGCUAGUUGGUGAGGUAACGGCCCACCAAGGCGACGAUCAGUAGCCGGGCUGAGAGGUUGAACGGCCACAUUGGGACUGAGAUACGGCCCAGACUCCUACGGGAGGCAGCAGUGGGGAAUAUUGGGCAAUGGGCGCAAGCCUGACCCAGCAACGCCGCGUGAAGGAAGAAGGCUUUCGGGUUGUAAACUUCUUUUGUCAGGGACGAGUAGAAGACGGUACCUGACGAAUAAGCCACGGCUAACUACGUGCCAGCAGCCGCGGUAAUACGUAGGUGGCAAGCGUUGUCCGGAUUUACUGGGUGUAAAGGGCGUGUAGCCGGGAGGGCAAGUCAGAUGUGAAAUCCACGGGCUCAACUCGUGAACUGCAUUUGAAACUACUCUUCUUGAGUAUCGGAGAGGCAAUCGGAAUUCCUAGUGUAGCGGUGAAAUGCGUAGAUAUUAGGAGGAACACCAGUGGCGAAGGCGGCCUACUGGGCACCAACUGACGCUGAGGCUCGAAAGUGUGGGUAGCAAACAGGAUUAGAUACCCUGGUAGUCCACACCGUAAACGAUGAUUACUAGGUGUUGGAGGAUUGACCCCUUCAGUGCCGCAGUUAACACAAUAAGUAAUCCACCUGGGGAGUACGACCGCAAGGUUGAAACUCAAAGGAAUCGACGGGGGCCCGCACAAGCAGUGGAGUAUGUGGUUUAAUUCGACGCAACGCGAAGAACCUUACCAAGUCUUGACAUCCUGCGACGGACAUAGAAAUAUGUUUUUCCUUCGGGACGCAGAGACAGGUGGUGCAUGGUUGUCGUCAGCUCGUGUCGUGAGAUGUUGGGUUAAGUCCCGCAACGAGCGCAACCCUUAUGGUCAGUUACUACGCAAGAGGACUCUGGCCAGACUGCCGUUGACAAAACGGAGGAAGGUGGGGAUGACGUCAAAUCAUCAUGCCCUUUAUGACUUGGGCUACACACGUACUACAAUGGCGUUAAACAAAGAGAAGCAAGACCGCGAGGUGGAGCAAAACUCAGAAACAACGUCCCAGUUCGGACUGCAGGCUGCAACUCGCCUGCACGAAGUCGGAAUUGCUAGUAAUCGUGGAUCAGCAUGCCACGGUGAAUACGUUCCCGGGCCUUGUACACACCGCCCGUCACACCAUGAGAGCCGGGGGGACCCGAAGUCGGUAGUCUAACCGCAAGGAGGACGCCGCCGAAGGUAAAACUGGUGAUUGGGGUGAAGUCGUAACAAGGUACCC